GGGGAAUAUUGGACAAUGGGCGAAAGCCUGAUCCAGCUAUGCCGCGUGAGUGAUGAAGGCCUUAGGGUUGUAAAGCUCUUUUAGUGGGGACGAUAAUGACGGUACCCACAGAAAAAGCCCCGGCUAACUUCGUGCCAGCAGCCGCGGUAAUACGAAGGGGGCUAGCGUUGUUCGGAUUUACUGGGCGUAAAGCGCACGUAGGCGGAUCGUUAAGUCGGGGGUGAAAUCCUGGAGCUCAACUCCAGAACUGCCUUCGAUACUGGCGAUCUUGAGUCCGGAAGAGGUGAGUGGAACUCCUAGUGUAGAGGUGGAAUUCGUAGAUAUUAGGAAGAGCACCAGUGGCGAAGGCGGCUCACUGGUCCGGUACUGACGCUGAGGUGCGAAAGCGUGGGGAGCAAAC
rnacentral:rRNA from 1 species